GACGCGGUGGCCUAAUGGUUAGCGCGUUGGACUCCGGAUCGAGAGGUCUGGGUUUCGAGCCCUGACGGGGAUCACUGUGUUG
rnacentral:tRNA from 1 species